rnacentral:sRNA from 1 species
ACCAGGUGCAGUGGUGUACGCCUAUAAUCCCAGCAGCUGGGGAGGUUGAGGCAGGAGGAUAGCAAUUUCAAAGCCAACUGUAGCAACUUAGCUAGGCCCUAAGCAAUGUAGCAAGAUCCUGUCUCAA